AGCUCCAAUAGCGUAUAUUAAAGUUGUUGCAGUUAAAAAGCUCGUAGUUGGAUUUCGGACUGGUGCGUGGUCGGUCUGCCGCAAGGUGUGUUACUGACUCGUGCUGUCUUCUUCUCAGAGUCCUGCUGUGUACUUAACUGUGCGCAGUAUUUUGGAAUUUGAGACGUUUACUUUGAAAAAAUUAGAGUGUUCAAAGCAGGCUAUUUAUUGCCGGAAUACAUGAGCAUGGAAUAAUGGAAUAGGACUACGGUCUUAUUUUGUUGGUUUCUGAGACCAUAGUAAUGAUUAAGAGGGACAAUUGGGGGCAUCCGUAUUUCGUUGUCAGAGGUGAAAUUCUUGGAUUUACGAAAGACGAACAACUGCGAAAGCAUUUGCCAAGAGUGUUUUCAUUAAUCAAGAA
rnacentral:rRNA from 1 species